rnacentral:rRNA from 1 species
AGAAUCAACGCUGGCGGCGUGCCUAACACAUGCAAGUCGCACGAGAAAGGGGAGCAAUCCCUGAGUAAAGUGGCGCACGGGUGAGUAACACGUGAAUGAUCUACCUCCGAGUGGGGAAUAACUGAGAGAAAUCUUGGCUAAUACCGCAUAAUACCCACGGGUCAAAGCAGUAAUGCGCUUGGAGAGGAGUUCGCGGCAGAUUAGCUAGUUGGCGGGGUAAUGGCCCACCAAGGCGAUGAUCUGUA